rnacentral:rRNA from 1 species
GUCCACGCCCUAAACGAUGUCAACUGGUUGUUGGGGGAUUAACUCCCUUAGUAACGAAGCUAACGCGUGAAGUUGACCGCCUGGGGAGUACGGCCGCAAGGUUAAAACUCAAAGGAAUUGACGGGGACCCGCACAAGCGGUGGAUUAUGUGGAUUAAUUCGAUGCAACGCGAAAAACCUUACCUACCCUUGACAUGCUAGGAAGCUUGCAGAGAUGCGAGUGUGCCCGAAAGGGAACCUAGACACAGGUGCUGCAUGGCUGUCGU